GCCAUUGCUGCUGUGUGUCAGAUCUGGCUGUCCCCUCACACCCUGCUCCGGGACACUGAUACCAAAUGGGCUUCGGGGGAGCUAUCUGGGCUGUGGAAUAGCAUGUGCACCAUGGAGCAAAGAGAUUAAAUGCCCAUUGGGAUGGCUAAAUCUGCUAGCCUCUUCUGUUACAAUGCAAGGUAAAUGUGUGAUUCUCCAAGUGCUGAAAAACCCAGAUCUGGAACAUGUCGAGACAGCAGCGAGAAUAUGAACCCUGCUUGCUACAGAUUUGGCCACGUCCUUGCUGCACCUGGGUGUAAUGGUGGUAGAGGAUGUGCCCUAAUGUGAAAGCAGGGUCCUCACCUGUGUGCCCUGUUGUUUCACUCCACCUGGGCAGGAAAACCUUGGAUCAUAGGGCAAGAAAGCCUUAAAUCGAAGUAUUUUCAGAGAGCAGCGCUGGACCCUGUGGAGAGGAUUGAAUUUAUAUCUGAAGGAAUUAUAAUAGAGUGUGUUGGUCUUAACAGCAUCUAUGUCUUCUUUCGUCCAGAGAUUGGAUGGAUCCUUGCUCAUAUGCUUAC